rnacentral:rRNA from 1 species
AUUGAACGCUGGCGGCAGGCCUAACACAUGCAAGUCGAGCGGAUGAAGGGAGCUUGCUCCUGGAUUCAGCGGCGGACGGGUGAGUAAUGCCUAGGAAUCUGCCUGGUAGUGGGGGAUAACGUCCGGAAACGGGCGCUAAUACCGCAUACGUCCUGAGGGAGAAAGUGGGGGAUCUUCGGACCUCACGCUAUCAGAUGAGCCUAGGUCGGAUUAGCUAGUUGGUGGGGUAAAGGCCUACCAAGGCGACGAUCCGUAACUGGUCUGAGAGGAUGAUCAGUCACACUGGAACUGAGACACGGUCCAGACUCCUACGGGAGGCAGCAGUGGGGAAUAUUGGACAAUGGGCGAAAGCCUGAUCCAGCCAUGCCGCGUGUGCGAAGAAGGUCUUCGGAUUGUAAAACACUUUAAGUUGGGAGGAAGGGCAGUAAGUUAAUACCUUGCUGUUUUGACGUUACCAACAGAAUAAGCACCGGCUAACUUCGUG